rnacentral:rRNA from 1 species
CACGUAGGGUGCGAGCGUUGUCCGGAAUUAUUGGGCGUAAAGAGCUCGUAGGCGGCCUGUUACGUCUGCUGUGAAAUCCCGGGGCUUAACCCCGGGCGUGCAGUGGAUACGGGCAGGCUGGAGGCAGGCAGGGGAGAACGGAAUUCCCGGUGUAGCGGUGAAAUGCGCAGAUAUCGGGAGGAACACCGGUGGCGAAGGCGGUUCUCUGGGCCUGUACUGACACUGAGGCACGAAAGCGUGGGGAGCAAACAGG